AUUGAACGCUGGCGGCAGGCCUAACACAUGCAAGUCGAGCGGAGGAAGGGAGCUUGCUCCUGGAUUCAGCGGCGGACGGGUGAGUAAUGCCUAGGAAUCUGCCUGGUAGUGGGGGAUAACGUCCGGAAACGGGCGCUAAUACCGCAUACGUCCUGAGGGAGAAAGUGGGGGAUCUUCGGACCUCACGCUAUCAGAUGAGCCUAGGUCGGAUUAGCUAGUUGGUGGGGUAAAGGCCUACCAAGGCGACGAUCCGUAACUGGUCUGAGAGGAUGAUCAGUCACACUGGAACUGAGACACGGUCCAGAGUCCUAAGGGAGGCAGCAGUGGGGAAUAUUGGACAAUGGGCGAAAGCCUGAUCCAGCCAUGCCGCGUGUGUGAAGAAGGUCUUCGGAUUGUAAAGCACUUUAAGUUGGGAGGAAGGGCAGUAAGUUAAUACCUUGCUGUUUUGACGUUACCAACAGAAUAAGCACCGGCUAACUUCGUG
rnacentral:rRNA from 1 species